rnacentral:rRNA from 1 species
UACGAAGGGGGCUAGCGUUGCUCGGAAUUACUGGGCGUAAAGGGCGCGUAGGCGGCACUGUUAGUCAGGCGUGAAAGUCCUGGGCUCAACCUGGGAACUGCGCUUGAUACGGCAGAGCUAGAGGAUGGAAGAGGGUCGCGGAAUUCCCAGUGUAGAGGUGAAAUUCGUAGAGAUCGGGAGGAACACCGGUGGCGAAGGCGGGUCUCUGGGCAAUUCCUGACGCUGAGGCGCGAAAGCGUGGGGAGCAAACGGG